AACGCGAAGAACCUUACCUGGAUUUGACAUCGUGGGCAAUGCCCGUGGAAACACGGGCGGAGGCUACCCCACAGACAGGUGCUGCAUGGCUGUCGUCAGUUCGUGCCGUGAGGUGUUUGGUUAAGUCCACCAACGAACGCAACCCCUUUGACAUGUUGCCUGCGGGUCAAGCCGGGAACUCGUGUCACACUGCCUGUUUACGCGGGAGGAAGGUGGGGAUGACGUCAAGUCAGUAUGGCCCUUACAUCCAGGGCUGCACACGUGCUACAAUGGCGUAUACAGAGGGAUGCGAAGCCGCGAGGCGGAGCGAACCCCACAGAGCCGGCCCCAGUUCAGAUCGGGGUCUGCAACCCGACCCCGUGAAGUCGGAUUUGCUAGUAACGGCGCAUCAGCAUUUGGUGCCGUGAAUGCGUUCCCGGGUCUUGUACACACCGA
rnacentral:rRNA from 1 species